AAUGAUUGGCUAGCGGGUAGGGAUGUGGAGAGUUUAGGGCUUAGUGAAUGCAAGAGAUUGGUGAAAGAGUGUGUUUUGUCUGACUGGCAAGUCAGAUGGGACACUAGCGUGAAUGGGCGUGUCACUCAUCGGUUUAUACGGGAGGUUACAUUUGCCGGCAGCCGACCAGACUUUGGGUUCGGCCUGAGUCUUGGAUUCCUGUUGACUGGUCACGGUUCCCUCAAUGCAUUCUUGCAUUCGAGGAACCUUUAUGACAGUCCAGAAUGCCGUUGUGGCUCGGCUGCUGAGACAUGGGAGCAUGUUCUCUGUGAGUGCACAAGGUAUGCAGAUUUUCGAGAUCUGAGGGGGAUGGGUAUAAGUGAGGUUAGUGGCGGGUUUGACGUAAGUCAAUCACUCUCCACUAGUGAUAGGGUUAGAAGAAUGAGUGAGUUUGCUAGAGCUGCAUUUUCCAGGCGACGUUUGCAAUUGCAGGAAGGAAUUGUAUGAAUGAUGAUGGAUGGUAGAUGUGAGAAUGUGGGGGUACGAAUGUGGGGGUGUUUCUGAAUGGUAAUUUUUGUUGAACAUUGUGUUGUGAUGGGGCUACCAACCCUUAACUGUUUUGGAGUUUAAAUUGGAAGUGCCCUUCUGGUACGAGGCCUGACCGGAGGCUUUUAAUCUGGUACCACGGGUAACCAGGAGCCCACGGAACUUGUUCCGUCCUGGUUAGUUGGUGCGGCCCUUCGGGGAGUAUCGUGGUGGUUGUGGUUUAACACCCAAAUGCGGGUAGAGCAUCGCUCGACGUGGAGUUGCGUCAUACAACCGGGUUCCGUGACCCAGAUUACGGAAGAGGCUUAGAUAGUCCUCGUGCCAAACCAAGGUAGAAGUCACAACCAAACAGUCGUGUCUUUAAUUGGUACCUGCGGAAUUGUUCCAAGGGGGCGGUGAUUGACGCUUGAAUUAAUCCUAUACUAGGAACCGUGAGAUUAAGCCAUCGCGGCAGGUGCUCACGUUAAGCCCACUGACUUUCAUGUCCCUAUCUACUAUCUAGCGAAACCACAGCCAAGGGAACGGGCUUGGAAUAAUUAGCGGGGAAAGAAGACCCUUUUGAGCUUGACUCUAAUCUGGCAGUGUAAGGAGACAUAAGAGGUGUAGAAUAAGUGGGAGAUAUUAGACUUCGGUUUGGUAUCGACAAUGAAAUACCACUACUCUUAUUGUUUCCUUACUUACUUGAUUAAAUGGAACGUGUAUCAUUUCCUAGCCAUUAUACGGAUAUAAUUAUUAUGUCUUAUGGUAUUGGGUUUUGAUGCAAGCUUCUUGAUCAAAGUAUCACGAGUUUGUUAUAUAAUCGCAAACAAAUUCUUUAAUGAGAGAA
rnacentral:ncRNA from 1 species